rnacentral:rRNA from 1 species
UACGGAAGGUGCAAGCGUUGUUCGGAAUGACUGGGUGUAAAGCGCACGUAGGCGGGCUUUCAAGUCGGAUGUGAAAUCCCCGGGCUUAACCUGGGAACUGCAUUCGAAACUGAAAGUCUUGAAUGCCUGAGGGGUUGGUGGAAUUCCAGGUGUAGGAGUGAAAUCCGUAGAUAUCUGGAGGAACACCGGAGGCGAAGGCGGCCAACUGGCAGUGCAUUGACGCUGAGGUGCGAAAGCAUGGGUAGCAAACAGG